rnacentral:rRNA from 1 species
GUGGGGAAUUGUUCGCAAUGGACGCAAGUCUGACGACGCAACGCCGCGUGGAGGAUGAAGGUCUUCGGAUUGUAAACUCCUGUUGACCGGGACGAAUUCCUCUGGGGGUAAUAUCUCCGGAGGUUGACGGUACCGGUUGAGGAAGCCCCGGCUAACUCUGUGCCAGCAGCCGCGGUAAUACAGAGGGGGCGAGCGUUGUUCGGAAUUACUGGGCGUAAAGGGCGCGUAGGCGGCCAACUAAGUCAGACGUGAAAUCCCCCGGCUCAACCUGGGAACUGCGUCUGAUACUGAUUGGCUUGAAUCCGGGAGAGGGAUGUGGAAUUCCAGGUGUAGCGGUGAAAUGCGUAGAUAUCUGGAGGAACACCGGUGGCGAAGGCGGCAUCCUGGACCGGUAUUGACGCUGAUGCGCGAAAGCCAGGGGAGCAAACGGGAUUAGAUACCCCGGUAGUCC